rnacentral:rRNA from 1 species
GCUUCGAUACUGAACCCUGAGGUCCGAAAAGCCUUGGGGACCAAACAGGAUUUAGAUACCCCUGGUAGUCCACGCCCGUAACCGAUGAAUGCCCAGACGUUCGGGCAAGCUUGCCUGUUCGGUGUCCCACCUAACGGAUUAAGCAUUCCCGCCUGGGGAGUACGCCGCAAGGUUAAAACUCAAAGGAAUUGACGGGGCCCGCACAACGGUGGAGCAUGUGGUUUAAUUCGAAGCAACGCGCAGAACCUUGCCAACCCUUGACAUGGCAGGACCGCUGGAGAGAUCCAGUUUUCUCGUAAGAGACCUGCACACAGGUGCUGCAUGGCUGUCGUCAGCUCGUGUCGUGAGAUGUUCGGUUAAGUCCGGCAACGAGCGCAACCCACGUCCCUAGUUGCCAGCAUUCAGUUGGGCACUCUAUGGAAACUGCCGAUGAUAAGUCGGAGGAAGGUGUGGAUGACGUCAAGUCCUCACGGCCCUUACGGGUUGGGCUACACACGUGCUACAAUGGUGGUGACAGAGGGUUAAUCCCCAAAAGCCAUCUCAGUUCGGAUUGUCCUCUGCAACUCGAGGGCAUGAAGUUGGAAUCGCUAGUAAUCGCGUAACAGCAUGACGCGGUGAAUACGUUCCCGGGCCUUGUACACACCGCCCGUCACACCAUGGGAGUUGGUUCUACCCGACGGCCGUGCGCCAACCCAGCAAUGGGAAGCAGCGGACCACGGUAGGAUCAGCGACUGGGGUGAACGUCGUAACAAGGUAGCCGUAGGGGAACCUGCGGCUGGAUCACCU